rnacentral:lncRNA from 1 species
GGAGCAUAUUAAAGAAAAAUAUUUCAAAGUAAAAAAAAUUAAAAUUGUUCGUUGCCACAGAGUAAGAAAGCAUCAAAGCCAGGAUCUGAUCAUAGGUGCUGUGGGUUCUUUAGUCUUAACCAUGAACCCAAAUAGGUCCCCAAAAUAAAACAAGAGUAGACAUUUCCAGAAUUAUACAGUUCAGCUUCCGCCAAUGCACCAGGCUGUCCAGCCCACAUGAUAUCUCUGGUGACCCUGCAGCCUUUCAGAAUAAAAUGCAUUAAACCUCGAACCACAUCACAUAUCAAAGGCUCUCAGGUGUCCCAGACAGCACAAAUAAAAAAGGAGCUUUAUUGAUAUCUUUAUAGAAGCGUUGCUGAUCACUGAUAUAAGCACACAACUUUAUUUAAAUCACAUGACACAAGCUGAGACGCUGUAUGAUGACAAUGUCCUAACAUUCUUGCUUGGCCAACUUUACUUCUCCCCUCAUCACUUCAAAAACAUGUAGCAACAAAUGACUUUCCUUUCUAAAAUGUCAAAACAAAUGUAUUUUUUUAAAGUUAAAAGCAAAUUUGUUCUGGUCCGUUUGCUGCUUCCCUCACACAAGCUGUAGGAUGAGAAACCGGGUGUUUUCCCCAAGAUCAUUAGUGGAAGUAUGGGUCCAUGUUUCUUUUCCGAUUUUUUUUUAUCCUAUUUUAUUAAAAUCUUGCCUUUUUCCCUUAGAGUUAGAAACACAGUAUAGAAGAACGCAGUGCACAAAGUAAUCGAGAGUAAAUGUAGUGAGAAAUAAAAUUCCCACGUGAAGCCAUAUUUACAUUUUGGUAAAACUGGAAAUCACCCAAGCUCGUUCUUAAGCCUUUCUCUGUUUUGCUUCUCCUGGAGGGAUUCCUGGUGGGCUCCACUCACCCACUGCACAUGUGGUCCGGCUUAUCUCAGCAAUUGUCCCUGACACACCUCAAGCGUGACGGGAGAUGGAUCAUUUUUCAUCAAUGAAGGAAGCUCUGUGAAAAGCUGAGGCGAUGGAAAACAGAAGCUCAGGCCCCAAGCUCCUGCAGGUACAGGGCAAAGAUAUCCUGCAAAGAAAGCAUGCAAACUCACUUGGAAACAGGAAGUUUAGACACAAGAGGUCUGCUCCUCUUGCCAAGUUGGAAUCUGGAAGAUUGAGGGUAAAGUCCACAUUUCUCAACCCAGGAGCACAUUACCCAAAGAUAAAACCAGGCUACUGAGUAAACAAUUGACUCACAGAAGUUCUGAAGGAUUCUCCCCCUUUCAACGCCCUAUGAAGAGCUCCAAAAUACACGAGGGAAUGCUCAUGGUGAAGUUCUGCCACUGUUUUUCUCUGAAUUCAAUCAGCCUCCUCUUUCGUCCAAAGGCCCAGAGGAUCCUCUGCCAGUGACCCUUCUAUUCCCAACAAAGGAGUGGAGAACAUCAAGUAUUCAAACUGCUUAGCCCCAAAUUACUCCAGGUGACUUUAUUUCUUUACCUCAAACACAUCCUUCCAACAAUGAUAUUUCAACAAACCUGCCUUUGUACACCACUAAGACUGAAAGGGACUGACUAUGAAAUAGUGGCUAAAUGCUAUGAUAGUUCUUGAUUUGGGGGGUGUUAAAAAUCCAUGUAUUAGCUUCCCAUAAGCAACAUCAAAGAACUGCUGGCUCUUCCUGUGUAAGAUCUCCCUUUCAAACCUCUGCUCUAGGAUUGCCAUGUCUGCCUCACCUCCCACCUAGUAUUCUGGGGAAGUCCUCCUACCGGGUGCUCUAUGCCAGUGACAGCGAACCUUUUAGAGACCGAGUGCCCAAACUGCAACCCAAAAC